rnacentral:rRNA from 1 species
GACGAACGCUGGCGGCGUGCUUAACACAUGCAAGUCGAACGAUGACGACCGAGCUUGCUCGGUCUGAUUAGUGGCGAACGCGUGCGUAACACGUGAGCAACCUGCCCUUCACUCUGGGAUAACCUCGGGAAAUCGGGGCUAAUACCGGAUAUGAGCUCCUGUCGCAUGGCGGGUGUUGGAAAGUUUUUCGGUGCAGGAUUGGCUCGCGGCCUAUCAGUUUGUUGGUGAGGUAGUGGCUCACCAAGGCGAUGACGGGUAGCCGGCCUGAGAGGGCGACCGGCCACACUGGGACUGAGACACGGCCCAGACUCCUACGGGAGGCAGCAGUGGGGAAUAUUGCACAAUGGGCGAAAGCCUGAUGCAGCGACGCCGCGUGAGGGAUGACGGCCUUCGGGUUGUAAACCUCUUUCAGCAGGGAAGAAGCGAAAGUGACGGUACCUGCAGAAGAAGCGCCGGCUAACUACGUG